UUGGCUACAGCUGCUGGAAAGAGACUCCGACUCACAGCAGGCAAACGCAGCAUGCUGGAGGAAGAGGGGCGACAUCACGUGUGAGCUCUAGCUGGUCUGACAGGCACAUUCUCCCGAGUGUCGACAACACAUUCAAAGUUGGUGCGUGAUGAUGUAAAACAUGGAGAAGCGUGCUGCUCACCCACACAUGCUCUCCAACACCAACACACAGCAGAAUAGCUGUUAGCAAGCUAGCUUACUUGUAGCUGUUGGCUAAGGGAGCGGCUAAUUACUAAAAACAACAUAUAGACACUACCCACUGGGCUCUGUAUAUAAACGCUCUACAUGUAUACAUGACUGUGUCGGGUGUUGACAGCGCGUAAAAGCAGGAUGUCAGUGUGUCUCUAAUCCAACAGUGAUGUAAUCCUCACAAGUCAGAGUUCACCAGAGAUGAAUAACAGGACGCGGCUCGAUUUGUAAACAGACCCUCAGGAAAAGGGAGAAGGAAAUGCAGCAUCUGGACGCUCCUCGGGCUUGUGCAUAGUUGUGAGGAGUGUGUAAAUCCUGCUGGAAACCUGGUGUGUGUGUGUUAAACUUCAAAAGCCUUCCCCAUCAUGAGCUCCGGCGUGUUGAGGCUGGGAAAGGGUGUGUCCCGAGAAACCCUGGAACACAGUGUCAACAUCCAUCUAGAUCAACAGAUCCCUCGUAGUGUGAUUCAUGUUGUUUGUUCUGGACGAAAUCAGAAAUAAACUGCGAGAAGAGUCCUACUUUUGCACAUAUCUGAAAUAUUGGUAUCGUCAUCAAGGCCAAAACGGAACUCAUCACCGCCACAAUUUGAUUCCAGUGUUUAUCUUCUAUCUCUACUCUACACUACAAUUACACUGUAAAGGAAUGUCAUGAAAAGAACGUCUUCAAAUGCAGAGGAAUAGCUGCAACUUUGCCCAAAUUUGUUUGUGAAAAGAUAAAAACUGACAAACUGUUAAAGACUACAUGGACAAAAUGCUAAAUGCAAGAAUCAGUGCAAUCCACAAAUAAUAAUGAAGAUGUCCGUAAAUAAGGAAAAAAGACAAGCACUAAACAAUCCCGAAUCAGAUUAUAAGUAAUUAUGAGAACUAUUAGAACAACAAUAAGAAUAGGAUUUAAAUAACAUAAGAUAACAGUAUUUAUUGUCCCAAUUUUUCUGUAGAAGCAUCUCUAAAUCUGUUGUACUGCUU